rnacentral:rRNA from 1 species
CGUAGGUGAACCUGCGGAGGGAUCAUUAAAGAGUUCUAUAACUCCCAAACCCAUGUGAACAUACCGUAUGUUGCCUCGGCAGGUCGUGUCUACCCUGUGGUGCCCUACCCUAUAGGGCCUACCUGGUAGAUCCGGAUAACCUGCCGGCGGCCCCUCAAACUCUGUUUAAUAGUGAAUCUCUGAACUAUAACUAAAUAAGUUAAAACUUUCAACAACGGAUCUCUUGGUUCUGGCAUCGAUGAAGAACGCAGCGAAAUGCGAUAAGUAAUGUGAAUUGCAGAAUUCAGUGAAUCAUCGAAUCUUUGAACGCACAUUGCGCCCAUUAGUAUUCUAGUGGGCAUGCCUGUUCGAGCGUCAUUUCAACCCUUAAGCCUCUGUUGCUUAGUGUUGGGAGCCUACGGUUCUAGUAGCUCCUCAAAAUUAGUGGCGGAGUCGGUUCACACUCUAGACGUAGUAAUGUUUAUCUCGCCUAUCAGUUGGACCGGUCCCCUGCCGUAAAAACCCCUAAUUUCUGCAAGGUUGACCUCUGAUGCAGUGUACGGAAUAGCCGGUGAACUUAAGCAUAUCAAUAAGCGGAGGAA